CCCUUCGGGGGGAAGUCGACGGAAUGAGCGGCGGACGGGUGAGUAACACGUAAAGAACCUGCCCUCAGGUCUGGGAUAACCACGAGAAAUCGGGGCUAAUACCGGAUGGGUCAUCGGACCGCAUGGUCCGAGGAUGAAAGGCGCUCCGGCGCCGCCUGGGGAUGGCUUUGCGGUGCAUUAGCUAGUUGGUGGGGUAAUGGCCCACCAAGGCGACGAUGCAUAGCCGACCUGAGAGGGUGAUCGGCCACACUGGGACUGAGACACGGCCCAGACUCCUACGGGAGGCAGCAGUAGGGAAUCUUCCACAAUGGACGAAAGUCUGAUGGAGCAACGCCGCGUGAACGAUGAAGGCCCUCGGGUCGUAAAGUUCUGUUGUAAGGGAAGAACAAGUGCCGCAGGCAAUGGCGGCACCUUGACGGUACCUUGCGAGAAAGCCACGGCUAACUACGUGCCAGCAGCCGCGGUAAUACGUAGGUGGCAAGCGUUGUCCGGAAUUAUUGGGCGUAAAGCGCGCGCAGGCGGCCUCUUAAGUCUGAUGUGAAAGCCCCCGGCUCAACCGGGGAGGGCCAUUGGAAACUGGGAGGCUUGAGUAUAGGAGAGAAGAGUGGAAUUCCACGUGUAGCGGUGAAAUGCGUAGAGAUGUGGAGGAACACCAGUG
rnacentral:rRNA from 1 species